UGAAAUCUGAGGAGUGAUUUGUCAAGAAGAAGGGAUAUACGUUUUCAGAUGGAACCUUCUGAAGAGGAGGAGUGUGUGUGUAUGUGUAAAUACAAGUGUGAACAUGAAGAAAGGAUAAUAAAGUGAAGAGUGGAAAUACACAUAUGUCUAAUGUGUAUACACAUAAAUACAUGGAUACACAUGUCUAAAUGGCCUUCAGUUUUGAGCUG
rnacentral:lncRNA from 1 species